rnacentral:rRNA from 1 species
GGGGAUUAGUGGCGAACGGGUGAGUAACACGUGGGUAAUCUGCCCUGCACUCUGGGAUAAGCCCGGGAAACUGGGUCUAAUACCGGAUAUACACUGGUGGUCGCAUGGCCUGCUGGUGGAAAGCUUUUGCGGUGUGGGAUGGGCCCGCGGCCUAUCAGCUUGUUGGUGGGGUAGUGGCCUACCAAGGCGACGACGGGUAGCCGGCCUGAGAGGGUGACCGGCCACACUGGGACUGAGACACGGCCCAGACUCCUACGGGAGGCAGCAGUGGGGAAUAUUGCACAAUGGGCGGAAGCCUGAUGCAGCGACGCCGCGUGAGGGAUGACGGCCUUCGGGUUGUAAACCUCUUUCAGCAGGGAAGAAGCGCAAGUGACGGUACCUGCAAAAGAAGCACCGGCUAACUACGUGCCAGCAGCCGCGGUAAUACGUAGGGUGCAAGCGUUGUCCGGAAUUAUUGGGCGUAAAGAGCUCGUAGGCGGUUUGUCACGUCGAUUGUGAAAGCCCAGGGCUUAACCCUGGGUCUGCAGUCGAUACGGGCAGGCUAGAGUUCGGUAGGGGAGACUGGAAUUCCUGGUGUAGCGGUG